rnacentral:rRNA from 1 species
AGCGAAAUGCGAUACGUAGUGUGAAUUGCAGAAUUCCGCGAAUCAUCGAGUCUUUGAACGCAAGUUGCGCCCGAGGCUUGUCCGAGGGCAUUUCCGCUAGAGCGUCAC